rnacentral:sRNA from 1 species
CAGGAGAAUGUGACAAGGCCCUCUCCGGACCCAGCACCUGGCCAGAGGCUGUGAGUGCCUGUGCUUAGUGCUGAGGGGACUCCAGAGGGUCCUUGGCCACUGCACUCUGGGGGAGCCGCUCCAGGGUCUUCUCCCUGAUGGUCCAUCCCCCGCCGCGAUGCAGGUGACCAGCCAAGAUAAGGCUCCAGCCGUAAUCCGCAAGGCCAUGGACAAACACAACCUGGAGGAGGAGGAGCCGGAGGACUAUGAGCUGCUGCAGAUUCUCUCAGAUGACCGGAAGCUGAAGAUCCCUGAAAACGCCAACGUCUUCUAUGCCAUGAACUCUACCGCCAAUUAUGACUUUGUCCUGAAGAAGCGGACCUUCACCAAGGGAGUGAAGGUCAAGCAUGGAGCCAGCUCAACC